GAAUAAUUUUAAUAAAAUAAUUAUUCGCUUAUUGACUUUGAUAAGCGGCCAGUGCUUCAUGUGGCUUACCGGUAGGGUCGUAUGUCCCUCCUCGGACUGUUUCGGUCCGUGCGCCCGUUGAAGGUCACAGACACACAGGCAGUGAAACGUUGUUGUGCUUGUCAUGGCGGCUGUUGCCAUUUCUGCCUGAGUCUAGAGAGAUCUGACGCCGUUUCUCCGCUAGUAGUUGACAUUUUGCGCCGACACUUUGGUCUCCCUCAGGUCCCCCUCAUCCCACCUCCCUUGCAAUAGACCACAGCAGCAGUUAAAUUAAGGCCCAAGAGGCAGACAUCCUGCAGCAGACUGAAAAUGCAGAAAACCAGUUGCAUGAAUGAAAUGAGAACAUGAAGACUGCUCCCUAAAAAAAAAUUGAAAGUUCUCAGCUGACCAUGUGUCGUGCAAUGACAGAAAUGUCAAGAUGAGUGUGAGGCAGAGGACAAGGACGCAGGAAAGGUGGUCCUGCCUGCAUCUACAGUCUGAUCAUCAGUCUUCAGCCCUAUCUGUGUUGCCAGUGUGGACAUUGAUGCAAAGACUUCAGGCUCAGAAGAUGACAGACCGUCUAUCCAGCCAUCACACCGAGAGCUGAAGGGGUGAAAGCGGAGGCCAGUUGUGGACCAGCCUAUAAAGACAUCGCAUUGGGUGAGUCACAGUCAAACUGAUGACAGUGUGGUGUUUGCUAUUGAUUACAGUGAAGCCAAGGUUAAUGUGUAUAAAAAAUGAAGUUCCUACAUUUACUAAGUAUGUCAUCAUGACUCACGUCAUUUGCACACAUACAAUGCAUACAUGGAGCCGACUUUAUGACUACAGAUACUUCUCACUGCACAGCACGUUUCAGUAGGCCCAGAUGAACAUUUUGAUGAAGCCUGGAAGAAAACAUACUUUAGAAGUAAUACUUAAAUACAUUUCUGCCAUUUUUUUUUAAAAUUAACACCUCCUCGUGUCAAAGAUCUGUAAUGUUACAUGUAUGUCACACUGUUUGUUGAUGGUGAAUUUAUUCACCAUGUGUAAAAGUUUCAAUCACUCUCCCCAGUGGGAGGUGUACUCUUAUGUUUACAUGUUUAAAUAUUAUGCAUCUCUAUUAAUGAAUGUUGACAGUUGACACUGUGGUUUUUGCAACAUUUGACUGAAAAUGACUACAGAGCAAAUCUUCGAAAAUUACAAUGAGCAAUGAGAAAGUGACAUUUUUUAGACUAACACAGUUACAUGGUUAAAUACCCUUUUCAUGAAAAGCAGAGUUUUUGUGCAGUUUUGUGUGCUGCAUCUGGUUAACUAUCCCUGUUUUAUUGGAGUGAGCAUGAGAAUGCAUCAUACAGUUUGUGGAGAUCUGUUAUUUACCACAUUUGUCCUGAAUUGCUGAAACCAAACACUUUCAAUAAUCUGCUAGACCUAAAAGUUAUAUCAGAUUACUUUAGUUUGUAAAAAUGAGAAAAAAAAUGUUUGACAUUAUGUGCAGAAUAAUUAAAAUGACUGUUGGGUUGUUAAUUCACAGAUAAUAUGUGUAAUUUUACUGACUUUUCUUAGUUAUUCAGCAAUAGAAUAGAAACAGAAAACUACAAGUUUAAAUUUUUCCCCAGUGA